CCGAAUCCCUACUCUCCCAAACCCUUCUUCCAACACUCAACGCUCUCAAACCCUCAUCUCCCAAAACCCUUCUCUCCUCCCUACAAAAACCCACCGACCCUCUCUCUCUCUCUCUCUCUCUCUCUCUCUCUCUCUUUGUUUAUUGAGGUUUGGUGGUGUUUUCGUAGGGUGUAUAGCAAUGCAGAGGGAAAAUAACAGGAGAGGAAGUACAAGAGGUGAGGAUUUUUCUUCUCUUCUUCCAUAUGCAGCCAUGGCGAGUGCUUUUACGAACAAGCUAUUGAAGUCGAAAGAACAAGCAGAAGAAUACCCCUUUUUUAUCAUGGAAGAACUCAACCCUAAAAAUUUCGGCUACAUCAUGGUACACCGUGCUUCCAAUCAUAGCCCAAAUCAUCAAGGACAUGCCUCAACAAUUGAAAGUGAGGCUUCUAGAGGAAGUGGGAGAGCAUGAUAGAGAACGGAUAUUGUCUGGUGCAACAACAUAAAGGAUGACAACUAUUGAGGAAAUGGUGGGCAUGUAUGUGUUGUGUGUUUCCUAUAUUUGCGAAAGGGUACGAAAAAGAUCCGGCAAUUGUAGCAAAUGAAGCUAUCCAGAAGGGUACUCGCAAUAAAUUGGAUGUUGUUUUUGUAGAUAUAGCUAGGUGGAUGUAGGUAACUGUUAUGUAGGAUAUCUUUGGGGUUAAUUUGUUUUCCUUCGCUUUUGCUCUUUUGGUAGUUGGAGUACCUUCCAGGAGCCUUGUAUUUCUUCA